rnacentral:rRNA from 1 species
UACGAGGGGGGCAAGCGUUGUUCGGAAUUAUUGGGCGUAAAGAGCUCGUAGGCGGUCUGUCACGUCGGCUGUGAAAUCCCGAGGCUCAACCUCGGGUCUGCAGUCGAUACGGGCAAACUAGAGUAUUGCAGGGGAGACUGGAAUUCCUGGUGUAGCGGUGAAAUGCGCAGAUAUCAGGAGGAACACCGGUGGCGAAGGCGGGUCUCUGGGCAAUAACUGACGCUGAGGAGCGAAAGCGUGGGGAGCGAACAGG